rnacentral:rRNA from 1 species
GACGAACGCUGGCGGCGUGCCUAAUACAUGCAAGUCGAGCGAAUGGAAGGGAGCUUGCUCCCUGAAGUUAGCGGCGGACGGGUGAGUAACACGUGGGCAACCUGCCUGUAAGACUGGGAUAACUUCGGGAAACCGGAGCCAAUACCGGAUACGUUCUUUUCUCGCAUGAGGAAAGAUGGAAAGAUGGUUUCGGCUAUCACUUACAGAUGGGCCCGCGGCGCAUUAGCUAGUUGGUGGGGUAAUGGCCCACCAAGGCGACGAUGCGUAGCCGACCUGGGAGGGUGAUCGGCCACACUGGGACUGAGACACGGCCCAGACUCCUACGGGAGGCGGCAGUAGGGAAUCUUCCGCAAUGGACGAAAGUCUGACGGAGCAACGCCGCGUGAGCGAAGAAGGCCUUCGGGUCGUAAAGCUCUGUUGUCAGGGAAGAACAAGUGCCAGAGUAACUGCUGGCACCUUGACGGUACCUGACCAGAAAGCCACGGCUAACUACGUGCCAGCAGCCGCGGUAA